UCGGCGUCGGACUCGGAGCCCCGCGUAGUUCCGGAGGCGACUGCGACGCAUGGCGGCGAGCUGUGUGGAGAAGACGCGCGGGUGGCGGGGCCUUGCACUGCGGCGGCCCUCGGGCACCCUCGUGCUGCCCGCUUCCUCCAGGCCUAGGACCUCAUGCUCGGCGAGGCACGCGUGGGCCCCAGGCCCGGGUACUCACUGCGCCUCCCGCAGACGCCGGCUUCCCGGCCCAGUUUCCAGCACUGGGAAUCCUUCCACUGUCUGUCUCUGCCCAGGGCAACCCGCGCGCAGUAACACCGACCCCAGAGCGCACCCGUUAGGCGAUGAAGGCACAAAAGAAGAGGAAGAAAACCUGGAACAGAGCCUUGGUGGCAAAUGGAGGCGAGAAGGCCUCAAAGAAACCCGUCCCAGAGGAAGUUCCCAACAAGGCUUACUAGUGGCUUCAGAGGAAGAGCGAGAAAGGCUUGAAAGAAGUGAAAAGAACAACCACAGACGCACUUUAAAGCAAGAAAAUGAAGAAAAAACAAAUGUUGAUAUGCUGUACAAAAAAGCGUAG
ensembl:lincRNA